CAGGACGAACGCUGGCGGCGUGCCUAAUACAUGCAAGUCGAACGGUCUUUCUAUGGAAGCUUGCUUCCACUGAGAAGAUAGUGGCGAGCGGGUGAGUAACACGUGGGUAACCUGCCCAUAAGAGGGGGAUAACAUCCGGAAACGGGUGCUAAUACCGCAUAGUUUUCUUGAUUGCAUGAUUGAGAAAGGAAAGACGGCCUUUGUGCUGUCGCUUAUGGAUGGACCCGCGGCGUAUUAGUUAGUUGGUGAGGUAACGGCUCACCAAGACGAUGAUACGUAGCCGACCUGAGAGGGUGAUCGGCCACAUUGGGACUGAGACACGGCCCAAACUCCUACGGGAGGCAGCAGUAGGGAAUCUUCCGCAAUGGACGAAAGUCUGACGGAGCAACGCCGCGUGAGUGAAGAAAGGUUUUCGGAUCGUAAAACUCUGUUGUCAGAGAAGAACAAGUUGGAGAGUAACUGCUCCAGCCUUGACGGUAUCUGACCAGAAAGCCACGGCUAACUACGUGCCAGCAGCCGC
rnacentral:rRNA from 1 species